GCUGAUCGGGUGCGGGUGCGACUGCCUGUGUGCCUCCAUUGGCAUCUCUGCCUGUGGGCCCCAGGCCAGAACAGAGAAGAGAGUGGCCCAUUCGGUGUCCACCCGUCAGGCCACCCAGCAGCCAGGCACGCUCAUAAGCCCGCGUUACGGAUGGUGCGGCCGGGUGCACAGGCCCGAGGGAAGCACAGGCCUCGGCCUCCCAGCUCCCAACCCCUGCACCACCCACAGCCGGGAGUACCCCAUGGACAGCUGUGGCCGAGGAGAAGCCAGGGAUGAGGGGGAUGGGCCUCACCUCCCCACCAGCCUGGGAAGGGGGUAGGCCCCUGGCAAGUAGGCCCCUCCUUUGCGGCUGCUGUGGGGACUUUCGAGAGCAGAGCACACCCCUAAGUGCGUGGAGAGGUAAGCACAGCUGGUGAGCACACGGGGACAGCGACGGAGCUCAUGGAGACCCAGGAGGGAAGCUGAGGCUCAGAGACAUCAUGAGGAUGCCAGCUCAAGGCCCAGCCAGGCCUUGGUCCUCAGCUGCUGUCAUCCAGUAGGGUAAGUGGGACCCCCAGGAGGUGUUGGGGGACACUCCUCCCCUCCCCCACACUCACAGUCUGUUCACCGCCCAAGGCAGCAGGCUGGACUCGGUGCAGGGACCAUGGCUUGGCGUGGCCAGGUUGGAGUGGCCCCUGGGACUGAAAGCAGGGGGCGUGGGGGCUCUGAGGCGGGGCCGAGUGCGGGGACGUCCUGUGGCGGGUACCCUGCUGGGUCCUGGGUGGGGGCCACCACCAGGCAGCUGUGGGAACAUUCCAGACCACCUAGGAGUAGGGCCCCUUCACCGUUUGAAGCUGACUGUAAAAAACAUCUGACCUGUGUGCAAAGCUCAAGCCCAGAGGCCUCCAGGGUGUCCAGCCUCCAGGGUGCCUCCUACGCAGCCUCCACGUCCCCAUCCACUGCAGCCCCUGACCAUCGGGCACACCGUGGGGCCUUCGCUGGCCGCCGGGCCUCAGGUUCUGCUGCACCAAGUGAUUUUUAAAGCCCCAUCUGCCUUUCUCCACUUAUAAAGAACUUGGGACAUUUCCUCGAGGUUGGGCAUUUUUCCAGAUGUGGUUUCAGUGUCUCGCUUGCUACCUGGUCCCCUGUGCUGGGCGGUCCGCUGUGACGCACCUGGCAGUCCUUGCUCUAGGAUGGAUUCGGGCCGGCCCUUGUUCUGAGAACAGAGAACGGCCCUUGUUCUGAGGAGGCUGGGGUCUGGAAUCUGCUUCCUGGUCCCCUGCUGUGUGCAGACAGCCACCGUCACCCAGGCCCAGGGGUGCCUGCAGGUGCUGGGCAUCUCACCCUGGCCCCCACAGGGGCUCCCCAUGCCCUGCACCCCUCGGUCUGUGCCGGGGACUUCCCUGCUCUGCUGUUGCAGGCCUCGUCCUUUGCCGAGGGGGUCUCUUUCCCACGUGUCCCUGAGACUCCUCAGCCAUCCCAGAGGCUCUCGGCCGUCUGAGCACCCCUGACCAUGAAGCCUUCCUGGCCCACUCUCUGUGUGUGAGGCAGAGCCCAUCCCUACCAUUCCGACCCACACCAGAGGCUCCGGAAGGUUUGCUGACUGACCUGUGACUGCAAGAAGCUGAAGGAAUGUGGGCGCAGACCCGGCAGGGGCUUUUCUUGGUGCAAAGUCAACUGGCUGUCCAUGCAAGCCUGCUGCUGUGGCCAGCCCUCCCGCCAGGCGCCUGGUACCCUCCCUGGACCCAGUUGCCAGGACAGUGAUCCCCAGCUGUGGCCAGGACUCUGCCCGGGGCCCUGUCUACUCAGUGUCUCCAGUGGUCCCCAUGCAGAAACUGCCCCCCUUGCUGCCCAUGAGGCAUGGGAUAGGGUCAGCAUCCGAGAGGCAGGCCCUGCUGUUCCCCUCUGCACAGAGGCUGGGGGAGUGAGUUGCCCGGGCAAGUCCCCGGGCAGGCACUGGGCCUCCUGAGCAGGUGAGCUGAGAAGGCCCCAGCUGGUGUAGGCCUCGAGAGCUGCAGGACUGGCCAUGGGGCAGACCUGGCAUUGUCAUUCUAGAGCUGGGCCUGGGGGGUGGCUGGUGCAGUGCAGAUCUCAGGUGGAGGCCACCUGCCCGUCCUUUCCACGUGGCUCAGGGCUCAGACCCACCUGCCUGUCCCUGGAAGCCCCUAGACUGCUCAGAGCACAGACCUCAGUGGGAAAGACAGUAGAUAGGCCUGGGUAUGGUCUCCCAGCCCUGAGAAGUGGGGAGCCCACUCAGACCUUUCCAGGACCCCAGGUCCCCUCAGCAGCCCACAGAGCGUGGGUGGAGCCUGGGCUGGGGUUGGGUCACUUGGGAGCCAAAGGCCCAUUUCUGCUGCUUCCAGGGAGUCCCAGGGAGACGGCAGAGGCAGUGCCUGGCUGGGGCCCUGGUUGGCGUGCCGUUUGAGGGGUGCAUGCACUGGGAAGUUGGCCAGGCCUGCCCAAAUCAGGGGGCUUCCAGGAGGAGAGACAUCAGGAGGAUGGGCACAGAGGCGGCUUAGCACCAGGGCUGGCACCUCCAGAGGGACAAUGUUGGUGUCCCAAAGCACAGUCCUUUGCCCCGGAGGAGCCACCGGCAGAGCCAGGAGCCCCUGAAGGACUUUGACCACACCCCCCACCCCACCCCGACCUGUGCCUGGUGCCCCAAGUGGAGCCUGGGCCAUCCUUGACCUCACCGCUGGGGUGAUGGAGAAGCAGCCGCCCGAGGCGAGAGUUUCUCAGGUGGCCGGGGUUUCCCCCCAUUUGCUCCAGACACAUUUAAACAAGCUGAGAACUUCCGUCCCCCCAUACUCCCCCCCGCGGACCCCCACGGACCCCCUCUGCAAAUGAACAUGGGCCUGGAAAUCGGGGUGUGGGUUACAGAGAGCACGGGGAAUUCUGCUCGUGAAGUAACACGGAGCACGAACAUAAGCAGGUACCGCACAUCUGCGAGCUAUUCGGGUCUCCGGGGGAAGGCAAAAAGCCCCAACAAGCCUUAAGUAAGACCAGGACGCUUCUAUAGUUUUGCUUUGACAGCUAAGGAAAAAAUCUGCCAAAAACCAGAGGCGCUGCUGAGUGUUGGCGUGGGAAUGCUAGUUUAGUCAGAGCCUUGCUCUGGGCCAUUUAAAUAAAAACAGACAUGUUGGUGGCAAAUGCCAGUUGAACACGCAGGAGAGCGGUGCUUCUCGGGCCCGGAGAAGGGUUUGCAGCUGCACUCUCUCUUCCCUUUUCUCUUGGCCUCCCCAGCCUUCUUAUCAUCACGAUCAGCAUUUCACUGGUAAACAUUUGGUGCAAUAAUUUUCAAAAAUCAGCAAGAAAAGUCUGAGCGUUUCAUGUGGCUGUGACUGCGUGGCCCCAGCUGGAAGCAUGGAUUCCCAGCGCCUCCCAGAGCCUGUCUCCGAGGGAUACUCUAAUCACUUGAGGGCCUUUGCACGACAUAAAUCAGACCGACUAUCUCUAGAGUGGAGAGGGGGAUAAACUCACUUGUAGCAAGUGAAGGCCAGAGGCUGCCCUGGGAUGGCAUUGCCUGUUCCCAGGGGCUUGUGGUGGUGCAGCAGACAUGGGGACCCCUGGGCCCCUUCCCCUCCUUGCUGGGGAUGCCACACAGACCCACGUUCAGGGACCUGAAUUCAGAGCCUGCCCCAGGGGUGGCGAAUGUAUCUGGGACACUGAGGACCCCCCUACCGGGUGCAUCUCAUGGCCUUUUGGUCUUUUUUUUUGAGACGGAGUCUCACUUUGUUGCCCAGGCUGGAGUGUCAUGGGGCGAUCUCCGCUCACUACCACCUCCGCCUCCCGGGUUCAAGCAAUUCUCCUGUCUCAGCCUCCGAGUAGCUGGGAUUACAGGUAUGUGCCACCACGCCAGCUAAUUUUUCUAUUUUUAAUAGAGAUAGGGUUUCACCAUGUUGGUCAGGCUGGUCUUGAACUCCUAACCUCGGGUGAUCUGCCUGCCUUGGCCUCCCGAAGUGUUGGGAUUACAGGCGUGAGCCACUGCACCUGGCCAGCCUUUUGGUCUUGAAGGGUCUCUGGGAGGGCCUCAGAGAAUGUCUUGGUUUCCUCACUCUUGGGUUCCCAUCGACUGAGGUCAGGGCUGGGAAGGGGUGAUGAGCCCAGGACUCUUCUGGCGAGAGCGAGGGUCUAUGUUGGGGGGCUCCCUUCUGCCACCUCUCCUUGGUGACAUGGGGCUGGCUGGAGAGUCCCUCCGUGCCUGGGAGUUCCUCAGUGUAGGGGGGGAAGGGGGCCACUGCAAUGAAUCUGACACCAGCCCCCUCUCUCUCCGCCCUGCUGGCAGCCCUCACUCAUAUGGGGGGCGGGUCUGUCCUCCUUUCCCCAAAGCUGGGGGUCCUGAGUGUGGUUGGGGUAACGUCUGGUCCUCCUUAGAACAGUGGGGCUUGGAAUUCAUUCAAGGGAAGAAGAGUGAAGGAACGCAGAUGCCGACUGCAUGGAGCCCCCCCGGGCUGCAGCCCCUAGAGCCUGGGCGCUCUGUGAGCCAGAAAGAGAACGGCUGGGGAGAGGGCUGUGUGAGGCCCUGUUCUUCCAAGACCGCUGCGGAGGACCGACGGGGCCCAGGGACCCUGACUGAGGUGUGCCGAGCACAGCAGCUCUGGACAGGCCGCACCGGCCUCUCUGUCUGUCAUCUGUCCACCUGUUGGUGGGCAGGAACAGACCUGAUGCUGUAAGAAGAGGCCCCCAGGACCCUGCCUCUCCCAUUGGCUGAGCCUGGACUGUGGAGCCAGCCGCCCUCACACUGGGCACAGAUGACCGACUUAGGUUUUGAGAAGAUCCAAACAGCAGCAGGACGUGCACCUGGUAGGGGUAGGAGGGCCUCCCCUGGACUCAAAAGUGUAUUCGCGGAGCCCCUUCCCUGCAGCGUAGGCUCUGGGGGGACAGUGGCCAGGACGGAGGCCCUCGUGGAAAGGGGGAGAUGUGAACAGUGAGCCUCCUGCAUGCAGGCAUCUGGGAAAGAACAUUCCAGCCAAGUGGCUCUGAGCACACCCCGACCCUGGCCACCCUGGCCCUGUGGACCAACCCUGGGGCCCAGGAUUAAUGACAGCCAGUGCUCGCUGGUGCCUCCAGCCUGGGCCAGGCCUGUGGGCUGGUCCCUUCAAUGAUGGGGCAAGCUCAGCCCCGUCCACACCCUUCUCCUCCUCCUCUGUGCUUCCCUCCACCCCCAGGAGUGGGCUCCAGGUCUGUCACUCGUCACUCAUGGGGGGCUGUGGGUUGACUCGUAUUCCCCCAAAAGACUCGCUGUAUACCCCCAGAGCUUGUGAGCAGGACCUGUUUUGGAGAUGGGUCUUUGCAGAUGUCGUCGAGUUAAGACAAGGCCAUGCUGGAGUGGGGCCUGCCCUAAUCCAACGACUGGGGCCCUUGGCAGGAGAGGGAGGUUUGGGGAGAAGGCGCUGGGAAGACAGGCAGAGGCUGGAGACAGUGCAGCCCCAAGCUGGGAGCACAGGGGUUGCCGGCACCCAACAGAAGCUGGAGGAGGUGGGAAGGAUCCUCCCUAGAGCCUUGGGAGGGGGCCCGGUCCUGUGACACCCAGAUUUUGGAUUUCUGGCCUUCGGAACUGAGAGAGCACACAUUUCUGCGGUUUGAAGCCACCAAAUUUUUGGUAAUUUGUUCUGGCCAGGAAAUUAAUACCAGGGAUAAAGGUGUUUUAAUGCAGACAAAGACAGUUUUUGAAUUAACCAAGCUUUGCGCAAGGCUGCCGGGAUUGACUGGGGGAAGUGAGGGACUCAGCAGCUUCCCCGACGCUCGCCAGGCACCGGCCUCCAUACACGCUUGCUGGCGGUGGCUACGGCAGGUCGCUCUUCAGGUGAAACCACAUAAUGAGCAGCCUUAAGCCUGUCGAUUUACACAGCAGAGGCUGCCUGGCCUGGCGCUCUUCCUGGCUGGAGGACUCUGCCUUCCCCCUCUGCCUGCCUGUGGCCACUCCGGCUGCAGAGGAGACUGGCAGACGACGUUCUCAUCCCUGGUCGGGGCAAAAGUUCUGCUCAAAUAUGACAACGGUGAAACUCGGAAUAGCGACAGAGCCAACCCAUGAUUGAGGCAGGGCUGGAGGCUUUCUGGAAAACGCACGGAGAAACACGAGGGCCCAGCUGUGCCCUGGGCCGCCCCAUGAGUCCAGCCUUCUUCGUCCUAGUCCCUUCUCCAAAGAAAGGACAAAACCACUGAAAGGGUUCGUCUGGGUCACAAACGUCCCAAAUUGGCUUCCGCGUGGAAACUAAACAAGGGUAGGUCCCAGCCCCUGGGAUUCAGGUGAAACCCGAGGCCUGUCUGAGGUCACAGCGUCUUCCCGAGGACGUCAGCCCUGUUGGCUGUGUCUGGGGCCAGGCUGAGGCAUAGCGGGCCAGGAGGCCGAGCUUCCCAAAGGAGCUGCACUGUCUUUUCCUUAGAAUAUGAAAUCAAUGUCUGCCACCUUGAAUCCUCAUGGACAAGACUCCUUGGAAGCCAGCCUGUGUCAGGGCCAGCGUCCCCCAGGGCUGACACCUACACCCUCGCAUUCUCAGCGUGACUCGGGACAGUGGCAGAACCCGCUGGGUUCUCU
rnacentral:lncRNA from 1 species